UCCCCGUUAACCGGGGCAGUCUCGCCUGAAAAUCCAACAGACAAUAAGGGUUGCGCUCGUUGCGGGACUUAACCCAACAUCUCACGACACGAGCUGACGACGGCCAUGCAACACCUGUCACCGAGUUCCCGAAGGCACAGCCCAAUUUCUUGGGCCUUCUCGGGAUGUCAAGCCUUGGUAAGGUUCUUCGCGUACCUUCGAAUUAAACCACAUGCUCCACCGCUUGUGCGUCUCCCCGUCAAUUCCUUUGAGUUUUAGUCUUGCGACCGUACUCCCCAGGCGGAAUACUUAACGCGUUAGCUUCUUAGCACAGAGGGUCGAUACUCCAUACUAACAGUAUUCAUCGUUUACGGCGUGGACUAC
rnacentral:misc_RNA from 1 species